AUAUAUUAUAUAUAUAUAUAUAUGAUAAAAUUGGAACGAUACAGAGAAAAUUAGCAUGCCCCUGCGCAAGAAUGACACGCAAAUUCAUGAAGUGUUCCAUAUUUUU